rnacentral:rRNA from 1 species
UACGUAGGGUGCAAGCGUUGUCCGGAAUUAUUGGGCGUAAAGAGCUCGUAGGCGGUCUGUCGCGUCGGCUGUGAAAACUCGGGGCUCAACUCCGAGCUUGCAGUCGAUACGGGCAGGCUAGAGUUCGGCAGGGGAGACUGGAAUUCCUGGUGUAGCGGUGAAUUGCGCAGAUAUCAGGAGGAACACCGGUGGCGAAGGCGGGUCUCUGGGCCGAUACUGACGCUGAGGAGCGAAAGCGUGGGGAGCGAACAGG